CCUACGGGGGGCAGCAGUGGGGAAUUUUGGACAAUGGGGGAAACCCUGAUCCAGCAAUGCCGCGUGAGUGAAGAAGGCCUUCGGGUUGUAAAGCUCUUUUGUCAGGGAAGAAACACCGGCUCUAACACAGUCCGGGAAUGACGGUACCUGAAGAAUAAGCACCGGCUAACUACGUGCCAGCAGCCGCGGUAAUACGUAGGGUGCGAGCGUUAAUCGGAAUUACUGGGCGUAAAGCGUGCGCAGGCGGUUAUACAAGACAGGCGUGAAAUCCCCGGGCUUAACCUGGGAAUGGCGCCUGUGACUGUAUAGCUAGAGUGUGUCAGAGGGGGGUAGAAUUCCACGUGUAGCAGUGAAAUGCGUAGAUAUGUGGAGGAAUACCAAUGGCGAAGGCAGCCCCCUGGGAUAACACUGACGCUCAUGCACGAAAGCGUG
rnacentral:rRNA from 1 species